AACCCGGACCAUCUUUUUCGGCAAAUACGCAACCGAAUCCAAAAGAGCAUUGUAAAGCGAUAACGACGAGAAGUGGGAGGGAGUUGAUUAGUGAGAGUAAAAAAAAAGAGGAUGAGAAAAAAGAUGAGGAGAAAAAAAUAGAGGAUAGCAUUGAUGGUGAAGUUGGGGAGUGGAGUGAGGAAGAAGUUGAAAAGGAUGAAAAAAAUGGUGAAGUAGAAAAUAAAGAAAGUGUGG
rnacentral:lncRNA from 1 species